CACCCGGUGUGGCAUGCGCCAUCGGCGCAGUGGCUGGAAUUGGAACAGGGGCCAGCCGAAGCGCACACCGGGGAAGCAUGGGGCCGGCAGUCGGGGGACUGCCGGCCCUUUUUUC
rfam:Stenotrophomonas sp. Leaf70 contig_8, whole genome shotgun sequence.